rnacentral:ncRNA from 2 species
UCCUGACGGCCCCUGCAAGACUUCACCCGAGCAUGGGAAUGCUUGAGGAAGCCGGUGUAAGUCCGGCACGGUCCCGCCACUGUGACCGCACCCGAUGGUGCGGGAGUCAGGAACUCAUCCCAUGCGCCGCACACCU